rnacentral:rRNA from 1 species
GACGAACGCUGGCGGCGUGCUUAACACAUGCAAGUCGAACGGAAAGGCCCCUUUGGGGGUACUCGAGUGGCGAACGGGUGAGUAACACGUGAGUAACCUGCCCUUGACUUCGGGAUAACUUCAGGAAACUGGGGCUAAUACCGGAUAGGAAUCCUUGCUGCAUGGUGGGGGUUGGAAAGCUUCGGCGGUUUCGGAUGGACUCGCGGCUUAUCAGCUUGUUGGUGGGGUAGUGGCUUACCAAGGCUUUGACGGGUAGCCGGCCUGAGAGGGCGACCGGCCACAUUGGGACUGAGAUACGGCCCAGACGCCUACGGGAGGCAGCAGUGGGGAAUAUUGCACAAUGGGCGGAAGCCUGAUGCAGCAACGCCGCGUGCGGGAUGACGGCCUUCGGGUUGUAAACCGCUUUCAGCAGGGGCGAAGCUUGUGGUGACGGUACCUGCAGAAGAAGCACCGGCUAACUACGUG